UACGGAGGGUGCAAGCGUUAUCCGGAAUUACUGGGCGUAAAGCGUGCGCAGGCGGUUUCGUAAGUCUGUCGUGAAAGCCCCGGGCUCAACCUGGGAAUUGCGAUGGAGACUGCGAGGCUAGAGUGUGUCAGAGGGGGGUAGAAUUCCACGUGUAGCAGUGAAAUGCGUAGAUAUGUGGAGGAGCACCGAUGGCGAAGGCAGCCCCCUGGGAUAACACUGACGCUCAUGCACGAAAGCGUGGGGAGCAAACAGG
rnacentral:rRNA from 1 species